GGGAAGGAGCCCGAAGGGGAGUCGGCGGCACAAAAUGGCGGCGGCGGCGGCGACGGUCGCGGCCGGCGCUCCGGGGCCGGCGGCCCCCGCCGCAGCGGCCUGUGCCCCGGGCUCGGGCAGCGCAGCCCCCGGGUCACAGGGGAUGUUGAUCGGGGACCGGCUGUACUCCGGGGUGCUCAUCACCUUGGAGAACUGCCUCCUGCCUGACGACAAGCUGCGCUUCACGCCGUCCAUGUCGAGUGGCCUCGACACCGAUACGGAGACCGACCUGCGCGUGGUGGGCUGCGAGCUCAUCCAGGCGGCCGGCAUCCUGCUCCGCCUGCCGCAGGUGGCUAUGGCUACCGGGCAGGUGCUGUUCCAGCGGUUUUUCUACACCAAGUCUUUUGUGAAGCAUUCCAUGGAGCAUGUGUCAAUGGCCUGCGUUCACCUGGCCUCCAAGAUAGAGGAGGCUCCGAGACGCAUCCGGGACGUCAUCAAUGUGUUUCAUCGCCUUCGGCAUCUGAGAGAGAAGAGGAAACCUGUGCCUCUACUAUUGGAUCAAGAUUAUGUUAACUUAAAGAAUCAAAUUAUAAAGGCAGAAAGACGAGUUCUCAAAGAGCUGGGUUUCUGUGUCCACGUGAAGCACCCUCACAAGAUAAUCGUUAUGUACCUUCAGGUGUUAGAGUGUGAGCGUAACCAGCACCUGGUCCAGACCUCAUGGGUAGCCUCUGAGGGUAAGUGACUAAGACUUCUCCUCUACUGUCCAAGCGCUUUGGUGCAGGGACAGCGGCCGUCCUCAGCCAAUCCAGUGCAGGCUCUCCACCGAAGGCUGGCUCUAGAUGGUGGUAUGCGCACGAUAGUAUAGUGCUGGCCGACUGCUGCUGUGGUUCUCUGACGGUGGUGCUUCUUGUUAACCCUGUCGUGCUUGGUAAUUGUAUUGAUUAGAGUUCACUGUCUUGACUUGAAUUUUGUCCCUUUGAAACUGCUGUACCUGUGCAAUAAAGAUGCAGUACCUUUCUCCUAAAAAAAUAUUUCUAUGGAAAGCUGUAAGAAUUGGCUGAUGGGAAUUCAGACUUCAGUAUGGGAUUCUGUCAUUAUUCCUGGAAGUCCUAAAGUUGCUCUUUUCAGCAGCUAAGUGUUGACACGUUCUAGUAAAAGGUGUGCAUCUUUAAAUUAUUUCAUGGACACUUUUUAUAUUGUAACUUAGAUAAGCAAUAAGUUUAAAUAUACAUUUCAAGGACUUCAUUUGUUUUUAGGAUUUAAAAGUUAAUAGAGUAAUGUUCUCACUAUUUGAGUACUGAAAAUUUAUUAGAACUAAAAAAGUUACUGAUGUUUAUGUUUAUGAAGUGUUUGAACUGUUCGCUUGCAAUGCUGUGAGACCUAUGGCCUUGGUGCCAUUAUGUAGGUCUUUUCCUUGAUUAUCUCUUGAUGCCUGGAGCAAGAGCUUCCAGAGCCAGGUGCCACAGUUGGCAUAUGUUGAAUAUAUCACUGAGAAAUCUGAGUGGGUUUGUGUGUCACCUUCUCCAGGGUUUAAGACAAAGUUACCAGGGUUGGGGUGGGGGUGUAUUAGUCAAAUCACACGGCAGGACUUGGCUACCCUGUGGGUGUGGCCUGACUCUAAGGGUUGCCAUAGUGGGGUAUGUUAGGAACAGCAAAUGUAUCAUUUAUUCGACUGUUUUCUCAUGGAAUCUGUUUUAUGCCAUAUUGGUGAAAUAUAUUAAUAUGAGAUCCUGAUUUUGGUCUAUUAAAUCCCAGAUAAAUAAUAUCUAAAGGAAAAUGUUGAAAACGUAGCCAGUUUUAAAACCCUUAAACUUUUAAAAAAUGCAAAUGUUUUGUAUUUUUAUCUUUUAAAGUACAAUAAUGUUUUUUAAAUGUAUUGAUUAUGAUGAAACUUGUAGUGUUUUGUUGCUUUUGUCUGAUUUUAUGAAUGUUCAUUUUAAGACUCGUUAUUGAAAUGGGACAAUUUGGAAACGGUUCUUUGAUAUGCCUGAGAAGAGGACUUCCCUUUGGGCAUUGAGCCUUCCUCUGCAUGAUGUUCCCAUGCGCCCAGGGGUGUUUUCCCUUUCCAAGUGGACUCCCUCAUGGAAGGAGAAGGGCCAGGCCCUGAGCACCUCUUCGAGGAAAAGGGAUGCAAGAGGACGCGUUGUCUCAGAAGAGCCCUCGCAGGCUGCCUGCUCAGCCCAUUCAUUUGAGUUUGCAUGUUUCUCUGCACUAUGGAUUUUGAGCAUUUAGAUUUCUUUCAUCAAGUACAUUUCAGCCACUACAGUAGACAUUUUCUCUCUGAGGCAUUGUGCUUUGCACGAGAACAGCCAGAAGUUGAGGGAAAAGUAAAGUUAAAGUCGGUUCUCUUUCAUAGCAACAUGUGUUGUCUGACAUUCAGCCAGCUUUUUAGAUUUUUUUUCCAGUAAUUUCCCUGUUUUCCUGUCCUGUACUCACAAAAAGCAGCUAGAAUGUCUCUCCAGGAAUCCUGAGCCUCACAGGACUGUGUAGCUCUAAGCCUAGGAGUAGACUGUGUAGAGUAGUGAACGUAUCUAGAUGAUGCACACGGGUAUCCUGGGGGUGCCCGGAGCGUUGCAGUCUUUCCUGCAUUUGGUUUUCAGGAAUUACAUGAAUGACAGCCUUCGCACAGAUGUCUUCGUGAGGUUCCAGCCUGAGAGCAUCGCCUGUGCCUGCAUUUAUCUUGCUGCCCGGACACUGGAGAUCCCUUUGCCCAAUCGUCCCCAUUGGUUUCUUUUGUUUGGAGCAACUGAAGAUGAAAUUCAGGAAAUCUGCUU